rnacentral:rRNA from 1 species
GUGUCAGCAGCCGCGGUAAUACGGAGGGAGCUAGCGUUGUUCGGAUAUACUGGGCGUAAAGCGCACGUAGGCGGCACGAUAAGUCAGGGGUGAAAUCCCGGAGCUCAACUCCGGAACUGCCUUUGAAACUGUCGCGCUUGAAUUCUGGAGAGGCGAGUGGAAUUCCGAGUGUAGAGGUGAAAUUCGUAGAUAUUCGGAAGAACACCAGUGGCGAAGGCGACUCGCUGGACAGACAUUGACGCUGAGGUGCGAAAGCGUGGGGAGCAAACAGGAUUAGAUACCCGCGUAGUCC